rnacentral:tRNA from 1 species
GGCGCUGUACCCAAGUGGCUAGGGGGAAGUCUGCAAAACUUUUUACUCCGGUUCGAAUCCGGACAGCGCCU